CUUUACUGAGAGGGUGGUGAGGAACUGGCACAGUCCGCCCAGAAAGGCUGUAGGUGCCCCAUCCCUGGAGAUGUUGAAGGCUGGCAGGGUUCAAUGGGGCCCAGCACAGCCUUAUCUGGUAGGUGACAGCCCUGCCCAUGGUAGAGGGUUGGAACUGGAUGAUCUUUACUGUUGCCUCCAACCUCAGCCAUUCUAUGAUUCUAAGUAUAUUUCUUAUUCCUAACAAGUUAAAGGAAAAGUAGUCCUAACAGUAUAAUAAUUUGAAGAAGAAAUGCACCAUAAGUGACCAACAUACUUGAUUGCUGAAACAUUAAGGAAAAGGAAGACCCUUUCUAAUGUAUGGAUGUAGUCUGAACAUUGUAAAAUGUCAUUGGCUCCACUAGAAAGCUUAUUGGAUGUGAAAAGAAAUCUGGAACUAGAAGCACCCAACAGGAAAUCCAGGAUUUUCAAUGUAAGUUAGUCAUCUGUAUUUUUUUAUUACAAUUUUCCUGUUGCAACAUUAAGAGCCUUCAUCCUAAGCCUAUAAGACUCUUCAG
rnacentral:lncRNA from 1 species